rnacentral:rRNA from 1 species
CUGCGCGCUACCAUGCAGUCGAGCGGUACACAGGGAGCUUGCUCCUGGGUGACGAGCGGCGGACGGGUGAGUAAUGUCUGGGAAACUGCCUGAUGGAGGGGGAUAACUACUGGAAACGGUAGCUAAUACCGCAUAACGUCGCAAGACCAAAGAGGGGGACCUUCGGGCCUCUUGCCAUCAGAUGUGCCCAGAUGGGAUUAGCUAGUAGGUGGGGUAACGGCUCACCUAGGCGACAAUCCCUAGCUGGUCUGAGAGGAUGACCAGCCACACUGGAACUGAGACACGGUCCAGACUCCUACGGGAGGCAGCAGUGGGGAAUAUUGCACAAUGGGCGCAAGCCUGAUGCAGCCAUGCCGCGUGUAUGAAGAAGGCCUUCGGGUUGUAAAGUACUUUCAGCGGGGAGGAAGGCGAUAAGGUUAAUAACCUUGUCGAUUGACGUUACCCGCAGAAAAAGCACCGGCUAACUCCGUGCCAGCAGCCGCGGUAAUACGGAGGGUGCAAGCGUUAAUCGGAAUUACUGGGCGUAAAGCGCACGCAGGCGGUCUGUCAAGUCGGAUGUGAAAUCCCCGGGCUCAACCUGGGAACUGCAUUCGAAACUGGCAGGCUAGAGUCUUGUAGAGGGGGGUAGAAUUCCAGGUGUAGCGGUGAAAUGCGUAGAGAUCUGGAGGAAUACCGGUGGCGAAGGCGGCCCCCUGGACAAAGACUGACGCUCACGUGCGAAAGCGUGGGGAGCAAACAGGAUUAGAUACCCUGGUAGUCCACGCCGUAAACGAUGUCGACUUGUAGGUUGUGCCCUUGAGGCGUGGCUUCCGGAGCUAACGCGUUAAGUCGACCGCCUGGGGAGUACGGCCGCAAGGUUAAAACUCAAAUGAAUUGACGGGGGCCCGCACAAGCGGUGGAGCAUGUGGUUUAAUUCGAUGCAACGCGAGAACCUUACCUACUCUUGACAUCCAGAGAACUUUCCAGAGAUGGAUUGGUGCCUUCGGGAACUCUGAGACAGUGCUGCAUGUCUGUCGUCAGC